UACUAAGCGGAGGAAAAGAAACUAACUAGGAUUCCCUUAGUAGCUGCGAGCGAACAGGGAUAAGCCCAGCACCGAAUCCCGCGGCCGAUACCGGACGCCGGGAAAUGUGGUGUUUGGGAGGAUUCAUAUUCACGCGGUUUGGCGUUGCGUCCAAGUCCUUCUUGAACGGGGCCACAGCCCAUAGAGGGUGCCAGGCCCGUAGUGACCAAUGCCAGUUGCGUGAGAAUCUCUCCUUAGAGUCGGGUUGCUUGAGAGUGCAGCCCUAAGUGGGUGGUAAACUCCAUCUAAGGCUAAAUAUAACCACGAGACCGAUAGCGAACAAGUACCGUGAGGGAAAGUUGAAAAGCACUUUGAAGAGAGAGUUCAAGAGUACGUGAAACCGUUCAGGGGUAAACCUGAGAAACCCGAAAGGUCGAAAGGGGAAAUUCAUUCGUAUCUCGAUAUUAGCAUCAGAUGAUUGUAUGACAAUUGUUGUCUUGUAUAACGGUUGCAUCUGUUGUUUGAUGAACUGGUGUCGAAUGCGUGCACUUUUCCCCAAGUAGGACGCCGCGAUCCGUUGUGUGUCGGUCUAAGGCCCAUGGUGGAGCCCAUUUGGGUGGCAUUUACGUGUCAUUUCCGAAUGGACCCGUGGUGUUCCCGGCCGACUUGCACGACGGUAUACAGAUGGCGCAGAGCCGCGACAUUAGUUCGCGUUCGGCCCAUGGCAAGCACGCCAUGGUGUGUUGGCGAUCGGACCUAGUGCCGUUCCCGGCCCCUGGUGACUGUUGGCUGUGGUGUUCUCGAACAGACUCUGUAAUAUGAAACGCCGAUCUGCGGCGCUAUAGCUUUGGGUACUUUCAGGACCCGUCUUGAAACACGGACCAAGGAGUCUAGCAUGUGCGCGAGUCAUUGGGAGAUAACUAAACCUAAAGGCGUAAUGAAAGUGAAGGUUUGUCUUGCACAAACUUAGGGAGGAUGAGUGGUUUGCCCAUAAAGUGGCCACUCCGCACUCCCGGGGCGUCUCAUUCUUAUUGCAAGAAGAGGCGCACCAAGAGCGUACACGCUGGGACCCGAAAGAUGGUGAACUAUGCCUGGUCAGGACGAAGUCAGGGGAAACCCUGAUGGAGGUCCGUAGCGAUUCUGACGUGCAAAUCGAUCGUCGGAACUGGGUAUAGGGGCGAAAGACUAAUCGAACCAUCUAGUAGCUGGUUCCCUCCGAAGUUUCCCUCAGGAUAGCUGGCGCUCAUUGCGCACGAGUCUCAUCCGGUAAAGCGAAUGAUUAGAGGCAUUGGGGUCGAAACGACCUCAACCUAUUCUCAAACUUUAAAUGGGUGAGAUCUCCGGCUUGCUUAAAUAUUGAAGCCGUGAGAUUUCGGAUCAGAGUGCCAAGUGGGCCAUUUUUGGUAAGCAGAACUGGCGCUGUGGGAUGAACCAAACGCUGAGUUAAAGCGCCUAAAUCGACGCUUAUGGGAUACCAUGAAAGGCGUUGGUAACUUAAGACAGCAGGACGGUGGCCAUGGAAGUCGGAAUCCGCCAAGGAGUGUGUAACAACUCACCUGCCGAAGUUACUAGCCCUGAAAAUGGAUGGCGCUGAAGCGUCGUGCUUAUACUCAGCCGUCAGUGGCAUGUGCGGUUCACUUUUGUGGGCCAUGAAGCUCUGACGAGUAGGAGGGUCGCGGCGGUGAGCGCUGAAGGGCUGGCCGUGAGGCCGUCUGGAGCCGCCGUCGGUGCAGAUCUUGGUGGUAGUAGCAAAUACUCCAGCGAGGCCCUGGAGGACUGACGUGGAGAAGGGUUUCGUGUGAACAGCCGUUGCACACGAGUCAGUCGAUCCUAAGCCCUAGGCGAAAGCCGAUGUUAAUGUGGUGUAUGUUUAUAAUUCCUAUGUAUCAAUUCUUAUUUUGUUUUUAUUACCGCCAAUCAGCACACAUAUAUAUCUAACUCUUAGACAUAUAUUACUUAAUAGCGUGCGGAAUAGUUUUUUAAAUCCUCUCUAUUAAAUAUGUAAUUUAUUUUGUAAAAAUAUAUCAAUUUUUAUAAAUAUUACAUGUAUGGAGAGAAUUAAAAUUGUGCGCGCGUUGUGUAAUAUUAAGAGAUUGAAAUUAUAGUGUGUGUGUGUGUGGUUUAAAUAUGAAACAAAUGAUAUUGAUUAAAUAAAGAAAUUUAUUAAUGAACACACCCAUUGGGCGAAAGGGAAUCCGGUUCCUAUUCCGGAACCCGGUAGCGGAACCGUUUAAAAGUCGGGCCCUCGCAAGAGAGUUCGUCGGGGUAACCCAAAAGGACCCGGAGACGCCGUCGGGAGAUCCGGAAAGAGUUUUCUUUUCUGUAUGAGCGUUCGAGUUCCAUGGAAUCCUCUAGCAGGGAGAUAUGGUUUGGAACGCGAAGAGCACCGCAGUUGCAGCGGUGUCCGGAUCUUCCCCUCGGACCUUGAAAAUCCGGGAGAGGGCCACGUGGAGGUGUCGCACCGGUUCGUACCCAUAUCCGCAGCA
rnacentral:rRNA from 1 species